CACCUUGCCGGUAUGACAACACUUAGUGCAAUGUGUUGACCUCUGAUGGCCAAUGAAGAGCAUUGCAAGAAGUACAUAGUGCGGUAGGUAGGCCAAUGUUAUGCUCUUGGACGUGAAUGGCGGUAUCCUCUUGAAAAGCAGCGGAAAACUGAAUGCGAUGACUGUGCAUGUUGGAAUGUUGUUGACACUGAAAGGAAUUGGAAUGAGUUUGUAAGUGCUUCUUGAGAGCACGAGUUGUUUUUGAAGCAUUGCUGGCAAUGUUGACAUUACAUAAUUCGUUCAGUGGAGUAUGUUUUUAAAUGUGCGUUGAGAUAUCUCUGCAGUCAGAAGGUUUUGGAACAAAUGGUGCAUUGAAAGUCCUGUGUGGAAUGCCUUUGUUCAGUGGAGUGUGUGUUUAAAUGUGCUUUGAGAUAUUUCUGGAGUGUGAAGGUUUUGGAGCAAAUGUUGCAUUGAAAUUCCGGUGUGAAAUGCAUUUAUAAAUGUUUUUCAGUAAGAGGAUAGUGGGAAGGUGACGUCACAUCAGUGUGGC